rnacentral:rRNA from 1 species
UGACGGUAUCAUAUGAAUAAGCACCGGCUAACUCCGUGCCAGCAGCCGCGGUAAUACGGGGGGUGCAAGCGUUACUCGGAAUCACUGGGCGUAAAGAGCAUGUAGGCGGGUGAAUAAGUUGGAAGUGAAAUCCUAUAGCUUAACUAUAGAACUGCUUCCAGAACUGUUCACCUAGAGUAUGGGAGAGGUAGAUGGAAUUUCUGGUGUAGGGGUAAAAUCCGUAGAGAUCAGAAGGAAUACCGAUUGCGAAGGCGAUCUACUGGAACAUUACUGACGCUCAGAUGCGAAAGCGUGGGGAGCAAACAGGAUUAGAUACCCUGGUAGUCCACGCCCUAAACGAUGUACACUAGUUGUUGCUAUACUAGAUAUGGCAGUAAUGCAGUUAACACUUUAAGUGUACCGCCUGGGGAGUACGGUCGCAAGAUUAAAACUCAAAGGAAUAGACGGGGACCCGCACAAGCGGUGGAGCAUGUGGUUUAAUUCGACGAUACGCGAAAAACCUUACCUGGCCUUGACAUAGUAGGAAUCUUUAAGAGAUUAGAGAGUGCUAGCUUGCUAGAACCUACAUACAGGUGCUGCACGGCUGUCGUCAGC